UACAGAGGUCUCAAGCGUUGUUCGGAUUCAUUGGGCGUAAAGGGUGCGUAGGCGGCGCGGUAAGUCGGGUGUGAAAUCUCGGGGCUUAACUCCGAAACUGCAUUCGAUACUACCGUGCUUGAGGACUGGAGAGGAGACUGGAAUUUACGGUGUAGCGGUGAAAUGCGUAGAUAUCGUAAGGAAGACCAGUGGCGAAGGCGGGUCUCUGGACAGUGACUGACGCUGAGACGCGAAAGCGUGGGGAGCAAACAGG
rnacentral:rRNA from 1 species